rnacentral:rRNA from 1 species
AGUGAACGCUGGCGGUAGGCCUAACACAUGCAAGUCGAACGGCAGCACAGAGGAGCUUGCUCCUUGGGUGGCGAGUGGCGGACGGGUGAGGAAUACAUUGGAAUCUACUCUGUCGUGGGGGAUAACGUAGGGAAACUUACGCUAAUACCGCAUACGACCUACGGGUGAAAGCAGGGGACCUUCGGGCCUUGCGCGAUUGAAUGAGCCGAUGUCGGAUUAGCGAGGUGGCGGGGUAAAGGCCCACCAAGGCGACGAUCCGUAGCUGGUCUGAGAGGCUGGGCAGCCACAAUGGAACUGAGACACGGUCCAGACUCCGACGGGAGGCAGCAGUGGGGAAUAUUGGACAAUGGGCGCAAGCCUGAUCCAGCCAUACCGCGUGGGUGAAGAAGGCCUUCGGGUUGUAAAGCCCUUUUGUUGGGAAAGAAAUCCAGCUGGCUAAUACCCGGUUGGGAUGACGGUACCCAAAGAAUAAGCACCGGCUAACUUCGUGCCAGCAGCCGCAGUAA